GACUGGGAUAACUUCGGGAAACCGGAGCUAAUACCGGAUAAUAUUUUGAACCGCAUGGUUCAAAAGUAAAAGACGGUCUUGCUGUCACUUAUAGAUGGAUCCGCGCUGCAUUAGCUAGUUGGUAAGGUAACGGCUUACCAAGGCAACGAUGCAUAGCCGACCUGAGAGGGUGAUCGGCCACACUGGAACUGAGACACGGUCCAGACUCCUACGGGAGGCAGCAGUAGGGAAUCUUCCGCAAUGGGCGAAAGCCUGACGGAGCAACGCCGCGUGAGUGAUGAAGGUCUUCGGAUCGUAAAACUCUGUUAUUAGGGAAGAACAUAUGUGUAAGUAACUGUGCACAUCUUGACGGUACCUAAUCAGAAAGCCACGGCUAACUACGUGCCAGCAGCCGCGGUAAUACGUAGGUGGCAAGCGUUAUCCGGAAUUAUUGGGCGUAAAGCGCGCGUAGGCGGUUUUUUAAGUCUGAUGUGAAAGCCCACGGCUCAACCGUGGAGGGUCAUUGGAAACUGGAAAACUUGAGUGCAGAAGAGGAAAGUGGAAUUCCAUGUGUAGCGGUGAAAUGCGCAGAGAUAUGGAGGAACACCAGUGGCGAAGGCGACUUUCUGGUCUGUAACUGACGCUGAUGUGCGAAAGCGUGGGGAUCAAACAGGAUUAGAUACCCUGGUAGUCCACGCCGUAAACGAUGAGUGCUAAGUGUUAGGGGGUUUCCGCCCCUUAGUGCUGCAGCUAACGCAUUAAGCACUCCGCCUGGGGAGUACGACCGCAAGGUUGAAACUCAAAGGAAUUGACGGGGACCCGCACAAGCGGUGGAGCAUGUGGUUUAAUUCGAAGCAACGCGAAGAACCUUACCAAAUCUUGACAUCCUUUGACAACUCUAGAGAUAGAGCCUUCCCCUUCGGGGGACAAAGUGACAGGUGGUGCAUGGUUGUCGUCAGCUCGUGUCGUGAGAUGUUGGGUUAAGUCCCGCAACGAGCGCAACCCUUAAGCUUAGUUGCCAUCAUUAAGUUGGGCACUCUAAGUUGACUGCCGGUGACAAACCGGAGGAAGGUGGGGAUGACGUCAAAUCAUCAUGCCCCUUAUGAUUUGGGCUACACACGUGCUACAAUGGACAAUACAAAGGGCAGCGAAACCGCGAGGUCAAGCAAAUCCCAUAAAGUUGUUCUCAGUUCGGAUUGUAGUCUGCAACUCGACUACAUGAAGCUGGAAUCGCUAGUAAUCGUAGAUCAGCAUGCUACGGUGAAUACGUUCCCGGGUCUUGUACACACCGCCCGUCACACCACGAGAGUUUGUAACACCCGAAGCCGGUGGAGUAACCUUUUAGGAGCUAGCCGUCGAAGGUGGGACAAAUGAUUGGGGUGAAGUCGUAACAAGGUAGCCGUAUCGGAAGGUGCGGCUGGAUCACCU
rnacentral:rRNA from 1 species